AAUGCCAUUUCCCAUAGCUAUGAUGUAAAAUGUUUUGAAUAUAUAGUAUUCAAUAAUAUAAUACACAUACAUAUAUAUAGAUAUAUAUAUGUGUAUAUAUAAAUAAAAUAUAUAUACAGAAAGAUCCAUGACCAUGUCUCUGUACCUAGGAGAAACCUCUAAAUGUAAUUAAAGCAGUGCUUCUUCUCCUUGUUUUCUGAUUUCUACCACAAAGGAACAAGCCUUCUGAUUUUUGCUCAGCAGAAAUAGUGGCCAAAGACUACUAAUGUGGUUCCUCACAUCCUGGUCCCUUCUCAGUGCUCAGCUUCUCAGUGUGGGCUCUAGGGGCUCAGUGUGUUUCUGCUCUUACAUGCCUUGAGCAACAGGUGAUGGACUAGGAGGGCUUUUUGUGUUGCUUUGUAGCAGAGGAGAACUUUGCAGGCUUUUUUGGCAUUAGGUGUAGAGCAGGUCUGGUUCUAUGCAUGAAUUCACAAUCCAGCCUAGGGCGGCUGCUAUUGUGAUGUCAGCGGCCGCAUCCCAGCUUUGUCAAGGCAAAGUUGCUGUGCCAAGGCCUGGAAGGGCUCAGUGUGCAGAGCAGCUCUGUGGCACGCUCACUGCAGGUGAACCUGCUGAUUGACGAGGUCUCUGCCAGCAGGACUCAGAGUAUUUUUGAUUUUCCCACAGGCGUUGUCUGGUGCAGACUUGAGCAGUGCUGCUCGAGCCAUGGAGGGAGUGUGUGCUGCAGUUUGCACGGCUUUUUCCGUGGCUUAUUCUGGGUACUUUCUCACCCACCUGGCACGUCACAUCACCCGUGCCUGGAGAGAAUCCGGUCUUUGGAGCCCAGCACCAACCUCGGAGGAUCCUCUGGCUGCGUCUCUUCCUGCAGAAGAGGCCAAAGAAGAGGAAGAUGCUCCCCAAACUGCACCUGCUGCCACUGCAGGGCCUGAGCAUCCAGCAUCA